AGAGUUUGAUCCUGGCUCAGGAUGAACGCUAGCUACAGGCUUAACACAUGCAAGUCGAGGGGCAGCAUGGUCUUAGCUUGCUAAGGCCGAUGGCGACCGGCGCACGGGUGAGUAACACGUAUCCAACCUGCCGUCUACUCUUGGACAGCCUUCUGAAAGGAAGAUUAAUACAAGAUGGCAUCAUGAGUCCGCAUGUUCACAUGAUUAAAGGUAUUCCGGUAGACGAUGGGGAUGCGUUCCAUUAGAUAGUAGGCGGGGUAACGGCCCACCUAGUCUUCGAUGGAUAGGGGUUCUGAGAGGAAGGUCCCCCACAUUGGAACUGAGACACGGUCCAAACUCCUACGGGAGGCAGCAGUGAGGAAUAUUGGUCAAUGGGCGAGAGCCUGAACCAGCCAAGUAGCGUGAAGGAUGACUGCCCUAUGGGUUGUAAACUUCUUUUAUAAAGGAAUAAAGUCGGGUAUGGAUACCCGUUUGCAUGUACUUUAUGAAUAAGGAUCGGCUAACUCCGUGCCAGCAGCCGCGGUAAUACGGAGGAUCCGAGCGUUAUCCGGAUUUAUUGGGUUUAAAGGGAGCGUAGAUGGAUGUUUAAGUCAGUUGUGAAAGUUUGCGGCUCAACCGUAAAAUUGCAGUUGAUACUGGAUAUCUUGAGUGCAGUUGAGGCAGGCGGAAUUCGUGGUGUAGCGGUGAAAUGCUUAGAUAUCACGAAGAACUCCGAUUGCGAAGGCAGCUCACUGGACUGCAACUGACACUGAUGCUCGAAAGUGUGGGUAUCAAACAGGAUUAGAUACCCUGGUAGUCCACACAGUAAACGAUGAAUACUCGCUGUUUGCGAUAUACAGUAAGCGGCCAAGCGAAAGCAUUAAGUAUUCCACCUGGGGAGUACGCCGGCAACGGUGAAACUCAAAGGAAUUGACGGGGGCCC
rnacentral:rRNA from 2 species